rnacentral:piRNA from 1 species
UAAAAGUGAUAGGGAUGGAUGGCCCUUGU